rnacentral:rRNA from 1 species
UGGGGAAUAUUGCACAAUGGGCGCAAGCCUGAUGCAGCCAUGCCGCGUGUUUGAAGAAGGCCUUCGGGUUGUAAAGUACUUUCAGUCGGGAGGAAGGUGGUAAGGUUAAUAACCUUAUCAAUUGACGUUACCGACAGAAGAAGCACCGGCUAACUCCGUGCCAGCAGCCGCGGUAAUACGGAGGGUGCAAGCGUUAAUCGGAAUUACUGGGCGUAAAGCGCACGCAGGCGGUUGAUUGAGUCAGAUGUGAAAUCCCCGGGCUUAACCCGGGAAUUGCAUCUGAUACUGGUCAGCUAGAGUCUUGUAGAGGGGGGUAGAAUUCCAUGUGUAGCGGUGAAAUGCGUAGAGAUGUGGAGGAAUACCGGUGGCGAAGGCGGCCCCCUGGACAAAGACUGACGCUCAGGUGCGAAAGCGUGGGGAGCAAACAGG